AGCAGUAGCCGCGGGAAUACGGAGGGUGCAAGCGUUAAUCGGAAUUACUGGGCGUAAAGCGUGCGUAGGCGGCUUCUUAAGUCGGAUGUGAAAUCCCUGAGCUUAACUUAGGAAUUGCAUUCGAUACUGGGAAGCUAGAGUAUGGGAGAGGAUGGUAGAAUUCCAGGUGUAGCGGUGAAAUGCGUAGAGAUCUGGAGGAAUACCGAUGGCGAAGGCAGCCAUCUGGCCUAAUACUGACGCUGAGGUACGAAAGCAUGGGGAGCAAACAGGAUUAGAUACCCCAGUAGUCCCUGUCUCUUAUAC
rnacentral:rRNA from 1 species